GACGAACGCUGGCGGCGUGCUUAACACAUGCAAGUCGAACGGUAAGGCCCUUCGGGGUACACGAGUGGUGAACGGGUGAGUAACACGUGGGUGAUCUGCCCUGCACUUCGGGAUAAGCCUGGGAAACUGGGUCUAAUACCGGAUAGGACCACUGCCUGCAUGGGUGGUGGUGGAAAGCUUUUGCGGUGUGGGAUGGGCCCGCGGCCUAUCAGCUUGUUGGUGGGGUGAUGGCCUACCAAGGCGAGGACGGGUAGCCGGCCUGAGAGGGUGACCGGCCACACUGGGACUGAGAUACGGCCCAGACUCCUACGGGAGGCAGCAGUGGGGAAUAUUGCACAAUGGGCGCAAGCCUGAUGCAGCGACGCCGCGUGAGGGAUGACGGCCUUCGGGUUGUAAACCUCUUUCAGCACCGACGAAGCGCAAGUGACGGUAGGUGCAGAAGAAGGACCGGCCAACUACGUGCCAGCCGCCGCAGUAA
rnacentral:rRNA from 1 species